rnacentral:rRNA from 1 species
GGAAUUGUUCGCAAUGGGCGCAAGCCUGACGACGCAACGCCGCGUGGAGGAUGAAGAUCUUCGUGUCGUAAACUCCUUUCGAUCGAGACGAAUGGCCCUCGGGUGAACAAUCCGGGGGAAUGACGGUACCGAGCGAAGAAGCCCCGGCUAACUCCGUGCCAGCAGCCGCGGUAAUACGGGGGGGGCAAGCGGUGUUCGGAAUUACUGGGCGUAAAGGGCUCGUAGGCGGCCGACUAAGUCAGACGUGAAAUCCCUCGGCUCAACCGGGGAACUGCGUCUGAUACUGGCUGGCUUGAAUCCGGGAGAGGGAUGUGGAAUUCCAGGUGUAGCGGUGAAAUGCGUAGAUAUCUGGAGGAACACCGGUGGCGAAGGCGGCAUCCUGGACCGGUAUUGACGCUGAGGAGCGAAAGCCAGGGGAGCAAAC